UGGGGAAUAUUGGGCAAUGGGCGCAAGCCUGACCCAGCAAUGCCGCGUGGGUGAAGAAGGUCUUCGGAUUGUAAAGCCCUUUCGGCGGGGACGAUGGUGACGGUACCCGCAGAAGAAGCCCCGGCUAACUUCGUGCCAGCAGCCGCGGUAAUACGAAGGGGGCUAGCGUUGCUCGGAAUCACUGGGCGUAAAGGGCGCGUAGGCGGCGCGCACAGUCGGGCGUGAAAUCCCCGGGCUCAACCCGGGGCUGCGCCCGAGACGUGCGGGCUAGAGGAUGGAAGAGGGCCGCGGAAUUCCCAGUGUAGAGGUGAAAUUCGUAGAUAUUGGGAAGAACACCGGUGGCGAAGGCGGCGGCCUGGUCCAUUUCUGACGCUGAGGCGCGACAGCGUGGGGAGCAAACAG
rnacentral:rRNA from 1 species